GACGAACGCUGGCGGCGUGCUUAACACAUGCAAGUCGAACGGAAAGGCCCUGCUUUUGUGGGGUGCUCGAGUGGCGAACGGGUGAGUAACACGUGAGUAACCUGCCCUUGACUUUGGGAUAACUUCAGGAAACUGGGGCUAAUACCGGAUAGGAGCUCCUGCUCCAUGGUGGGGGUUGGAAAGUUUCGGCGGUUGGGGAUGGACUCGCGGCUUAUCAGCUUGUUGGUGGGGUAGUGGCUUACCAAGGCUUUGACGGGUAGCCGGCCUGAGAGGGUGACCGGCCACAUUGGGACUGAGAUACGGCCCAGACUCCUACGGGAGGCAGCAGUGGGGAAUAUUGCACAAUGGGCGGAAGCCUGAUGCAGCAACGCCGCGUGCGGGAUGACGGCCUUCGGGUUGUAAACCGCUUUCGCCUGUGACGAAGCGUGAGUGACGGUAAUGGGUAAAGAAGCACCGGCUAACUACGU
rnacentral:rRNA from 1 species